AGCUCCAAUAGUAUAUAUUAGUGUUGUUGCAGUUAAAACGCUCGUAGUUGGAUUUUGGGGCGUGCUGCGUGGUCCGCCGAAAGGUGUGCACUGCGUUGGCGUGUCCUUCCUUCUGAAGACGGCGCAUGCCCUUCACCGGGUGUGUGCAUGGAUUCAGGAAAUUUACUUUGAAUAAAUAAGAGUGUUCAAAGCAGGCUUACGCUUGAAUACAUUAGCAUGGAAUAAUAGAAUAGGACUUUGGUUCUAUUUUGUUGGUUUCUAGGACCCAAGUAAUGAUUAAUAGGGAUAGUUGGGGGCAUUAGUAUUUAAUUGUCAGAGGUGAAAUUCUUGGAUUUAUGAAAGACUAACUUCUGCGAAAGCAUUUGCCAAGGAUGUUUUCAUUA
rnacentral:rRNA from 1 species